GUGUCAGCAGCCGCGGUAAUACGGAGGGUGCGAGCGUUGUCCGGAAUCACUGGGCGUAAAGGGCGCGUAGGCGGCUUUUUAAGGGUGCGGUGAAAGCCCGGGGCUUAACCCCGGGUCGGCCGUGCCGACUGAAAAGCUGGAGCACUGUAGAGGCAGGUGGAAUUCCGGGUGUAGCGGUGGAAUGCGUAGAGAUCCGGAAGAACACCAGUGGCGAAGGCGGCCUGCUGGGCAGUUGCUGACGCUGAGGCGCGACAGCGUGGGGAGCAAACAGGAUUAGAAACCCUUGUAGUCC
rnacentral:rRNA from 1 species